AAAAAUGAGCAGAGAGAGGGAAAAAACUGUGAACAUGAUAAUCUGGGACACCUCAAAUCAUUUGCCAGGUCAAGCUGCAGUGGAGGACACAAACAACUUCCUUUAAUGAAUAAAAUAACAGUGGAGGAAGAUGAACUGCUUCCUCUGUGAACUCAUCAGGCAGACAUUGGCAUGCACCGCUGGGUCCAAGAUGGCUGCAUCUCUGCACCCCUCCUUGUGAAUACUGUUUGCUACAGAUGGCAGUACGA